UACGUAGGGUCCGAGCGUUAAUCGGAAUUACUGGGCGUAAAGCGUGCGCAGGCGGUUUUGUAAGCCAGAUGUGAAAUCCCCGGGCUUAACCUGGGAACUGCAUUUGGGACUGCAAGGCUUGAGUACAGCAGAGGGGGGUAGAAUUCCUGGUGUAGCAGUGAAAUGCGUAGAGAUGUGGAGGAAUACCGAUGGCGAAGGCAGCCCCCUGGGCCAAUACUGACGCUCAUGCACGAAAGCGUGGGGAGCAAACAGG
rnacentral:rRNA from 1 species